GUCACUUGCUAUAGCACAUAAUAUUUGUCCACAAUCUAGUGUUCUUAAAAAAGUUAAAAUGAAUUCCUUCUCUGUUUUGUAGGAAUUGAAGCUCGGGGUUUCAUUUUUGGUUCUCCCAUUGCACUGGCAAUAGAAGCAAAGUUUCUACCAUUGAGGAAACCGAAAAAAUUGCCUGGCAAAGUUAUUUCUCAAGAGCAUAUUCUGGAAUAUGGAAGAGAUUGUCUUGAGAUGCAUGUUGGUUUGGAGCUGUUGAACCUGGUGAGCGUGCUUUAGUUGUUGAUUAUUUGAUUGCAACUGGUGGAACACUCUGUGCAGCUAUGGACUUACUAGGAUUUGAUGCUUGGUGUAGCUGAUCUUCAUACACUAGAGGCAGUGGCUACUGCUGAAUCUGCAAUUUCCACUUUUCUGCAAUCUGCUG